rnacentral:rRNA from 1 species
CAGCACCUCAAGUGGUCAGGAUGAUUAUUGGGCCUAAAGCAUCCGUAGCCGGCGUUGUAAGUUUUCGGUUAGAUCUGUACGCUCAACGUACAGGCUGCCGGGAAUACUGCAGCGCUAGGGAGUGGGAGAGGUAGACGGUACUCGGUAGGAAGGGGUAAAAUCCUUUGAUCUAUUGAUGACCACCUGUGGCGAAGGCGGUCUACCAGAACACGUCCGACGGUGAGGGAUGAAAGCUGGGGGAGCAAACCGGAUUAGAGACCCGAGUAGUCC